rnacentral:rRNA from 1 species
UGGGGAAUUUUGGACAAUGGGCGAAAGCCUGAUCCAGCAAUGCCGCGUGUGUGAAGAAGGCCUUCGGGUUGUAAAGCACUUUUGUCCGGAAAGAAAUCCUUGGCUCUAAUACAGUCGGGGGAUGACGGUACCGGAAGAAUAAGCACCGGCUAACUACGUGCCAGCAGCCGCGGUAAUACGUAGGGUGCAAGCGUUAAUCGGAAUUACUGGGCGUAAAGCGUGCGCAGGCGGUUUGCUAAGACCGAUGUGAAAUCCCCGGGCUCAACCUGGGAACUGCAUUGGGUGACUGGCAGGCUAGAGUAUGGCAGAGGGGGGUAGAAUUCCACGUGUAGCAGUGAAAUGCGUAGAGAUGUGGAGGAAUACCGAUGGCGAAGGCAGCCCCCUGGGCCAAUACUGACGCUCAUGCACGAAAGCGUGGGGAGCAAACAGGAUUAGAUACCCUGGUAGUCCACGCCCUAAACGAUGUCAACUAGUUGUUGGGGAUUCAUUUCCUUAGUAACGUAGCUAACGCGUGAAGUUGACCGCCUGGGGAGUACGGUCGCAAGAUUAAAACUCAAAGGAAUUGACGGGGUC